rnacentral:lncRNA from 1 species
CUGGCAGUACGAGGGCACUGUGCAAGAGGAUACGCUGAGGACAGCCAGAUGAGCAUCCCCAGACUGAGGAAGAGCUCCCAGAUUCUGAAAGCUUCCUGUGGAUCGAGGUCUGGUGAUGGCAGGAGAGGAAAUAGGGGCAUUACCUUCUGCAUGAUGGACAGCUUAUGGGACAGGCAUAUUUUGACCUACUCUGCGAUGUUAAUGAGGUUGCAAUUUGGCCCAGAGCCACGUGGAUGCCCUCCCAGCUGGCAUCCCCAGGCAGCACCAUGCUGCCCUCGGUGCCGACUGCCUCCUGGACUCCAAGGACUAUGCCCUGGCUCACAGCUGGGCAGGCUCCCACUCAGAGCUGCUGCACUUGGCAGGCUCACUGGCAGCAGCACUCACCUGCACCUAAGUGAGAACACGAGGCCCAGAUGCCCACUAGACCUGGUUGGCCCUGGCAGGAGACAGGAUGGACAGGAAUGUCAGCCUUUGUCCACAGGCAGCAAGCAGAUUGUCUGGGCACAGCCAUGCUGUGGUGAAGAGUUGAAAGGCCCCAGCAGUGCCUGCUGACAGCUCCAGCUCAACAGGGGUGGAGGAUUUCCCUGCAGCAGCCCCAAACCAUGGAUCCAGAGCAGUGCUUGUGCUGUGAACCCUGGGAUGCACUCUUAACUCAUGGAAUGAACCUCUGCAAUGGUGAGGGCUUGCCAAGGUAUCUCCUGCAACUCAUUACCCAAAGAAGAGAGGUAUCACAUACUUACUUCUCCCCGUCUGAUCUGUAAGAUGCCACUGCAGUGAUUACAACUUGCCCCAAACCAUGGAUCCAGAGCAGUGCUUGUGCUGUGAACCCUGGGAUGCACUCUUAACUCAUGGAAUGAACCUCUGCAAUGGUGAGGGCUUGCCAAGGUAUCUCCUGCAACUCAUUACCCAAAGAAGAGAGGUAUCACAUACUUACUUCUCCCUGUCUAAUCUGUAAGAUGCCACUGCAUUACAACUUUUUUCCUGUUUUUUUUUUUACUCAGAAUGUGUGAACGCACUCGAUUCAAGGUUAAGCUUUCCAUUAAGUCACACAAGUCUGUUAAAGAGCUUAAAUGACCACGGAAAGCAAAACAGUCACCUGCCAUGGCCAAAAAACCUGAGGCCGUGCAAAUUCUCCUCCCAGUCCCUGCAGAGCAGCUCCCAGUGGUGCUGGGUUUCUUGGUGUGGGUCUGGUGGCAGCGUGGUGUCCUUGGAGCCCAUCUCGUGCUGCUCCCAUUGCCAUUCCUUGCGAGUGCUGUGCGUGUGCCAGAGGGUGUGGUGUUCCAUCACCUCCACACAUCUUGGUGUCCCCACGGUGUGAGCCUGGCCGGUGUGACCUCAGGGCUCCUCCUGAGGCAGCGCUGGUCUAAAAACACUGAUGAAAAGCUGAUUAAUCCUUGUAAGCGAGCAGCGAUAGCUUCUCUCCAGAACUGAAGAGAUUACCACUGAUUUGUCAUCCUGAUUGUUUCAAAGAGAGGUGCAAUUAGUUGCUCUAAUUUAGCUCGCUGAGUGGCAUGACAACUGAGAUGUAAUCAGGAGCUCCGCACACAGCGCAGCCACCGAUGGGUGCAGCUGUGCCCACCACCAUUUUGCACGUGGAGGGUGGGCCCAAAAUGAUGGAGCACUGCGUGCUCGUGCCCCUCCAACUGCAUCAGGCAAAGUGUGCGUGCUCGACUCUGAGAUCAGCAGGGCUUCUUACGGAACAGGCUUUAAGCCACGGGGUUGUGGCUGAGCACCCUGGAGGAUGCUGAGCACACCUUUGCCAUGUGCAAUAAAAUUAAUACGAGCUAUAGGAGUGGGUGCA